UUUAUGGGGCGGAAAGAGCACUACUUAUUAAUUCUAUACACUGAAGUCUCUGGCCAGCCUUUUUCAUUCAGGUCUUGAUUAAUCCUGCAGAUGUAGUUGAGGCCUACAAGAAGCUCUAUAAUUGCAGCCUCAGUUUUUGCUUGAUUUGCAUAAUGGAGUGUUUGCACCAGAAGCACAUUUGUCCUGGAAACCUCUUGCUCCCUCUCGAAAUUUCGCUCAGAGUGCCAUCUUAUCAUGUUAUGAGCCAGUGGAGACAACCAUUUCAAUAUGCUUCUGAGUUUGAGACUCCAUUUUGCUGCAAGGAAAGCAUCAUAUGCAGAUGGAGCUAGAGUUUUGUCAGAAGCCUUGAGCCUAGCUCUCAGAGCAGUUCUUAUGGUUGUGGGUAACAUAUUAUACAGGUCAUCUCUUGUUUCACAGUCAAUCAUGUGAGGUGAUGAAGCUAGCCUCUCAACCAAUACUAUCACAUUUGCAUAGUGGAAAGCUAAAGCAGCAUGACCAAGAGUAGAUGGAGGGGCAUUCAACAAUCCACACUUGGAACUGAAAAGGGCUAAUUUGGAAUAAAUUCUAUUGCUACAAGUAAGAGAUCCCGUAUUCAAGUUUUCCAUUUUGCCAACAUUUUUCAUAUAAUCAAAAGUGCCCUGCGGAAGAGGAGACUCUGUACCGCUUAUCACGCAUUCUUUAAAAGGUCCAACAUGAGCCAACCAGCUGUUUCUCAAGUGAUGGUGCUUUCCAUGUAGAGUGGAUGAUUGAUGAUGAAGUUGUAGCUGCUUGUUUAUUUUAUUCUUCUCAGCCACAAUUCCUGACUUUGAAUCUAACCUCCCCAGAGGUCCUGAAGAGAAUCUACAUAAAAUACCAUCUGAAGGAUGUAUUGAUGAGUGCAUAGCAGAAAAGGAACUGCUCCAAAGAACACAAUUAGGAUUCAUAUGUUUAUGUUCAUUGUUUCCCUCCUGAGAUAGCAAUUGGCUAUUCUCAAAAACAUGCUUGAUCCUCUGAAGUAUUGUUAGGAGUGAUCUUGCCAGAAGCCGGACAAUGUAAUCAUAAGUUCUAAUCCAUGGAGACAUCUCACGUAAAUUUCUCACUUCCUGACGAUGCCACAUUACCUUCUGCUGAUACUCAAGCAGUUUUUCUCGACUUAGAUUAGAAUUUGCCUGCAUUCUCUUAAGAGUUUGCUCAAGCUCUACAAGAACUUCAAGCUCUUGAGACAGUUGCCCAGUAACUGCAACAAACCUCUCCAUUUUUUUCACUUUCCUUUCCAUCUUCUUCAAUCUAUAAUCCCACCCAAACCAUUCAAGAUUGUUCUGAAGUGGGUUAUUAACAAAAUGUUCAAAACCGUGAAAAAGAGGAUCUAUGCAUUUCUUCCCGAGCCUGGCAACAGAUCUUGAUACGAGUCCAAAAUUCUCCAUUAUCUCAUUUAGUACAAGAUCCAUAACAUGAUUAUAAUCGUCAGCUACAAGCUUUCGAAUCCCAAUUGAAUUCACAAUCUCUUUCCUCAACUUAUAUAUCUCCCUAUCACUCAAAAAAUGCCAUAAAUAGACGACCUUGGACAUCAAACUUGCAACUUCAAAUGCUAAAACUCCAAUUGCUGCCUUGUCAGUUUCUGUUGCACCUUUCCAUGAAUUCCACCAUAAAUUACUCAACCCUGGCUCGGUCCCCAUAUAUCUUAUUCAAUCAAAGUGCAUAUGUGCUGCAGUGGAAAGUAGCGAACAAUGGACAAUUUGAGCUAAAGAAUAACAGAAAGUUUGAAAUGCGUAGGAUUUAAAUCGCUACCCCUCCAGGCAUCAUAUAGAAGAAGGCGAAAAGGGAUAGAAGACAGAAAGAGACAAAGACGAAAACGUAGAGAAAUGAAAUUCGGUAGACUCGAUGUUUAAGUUUUCGAAUAUGGCUUCACACUUCUGGGAUUAUGCGUUGCAGGACAUACGGUUAUUUUGUAUAAAAAAAUUUUGUUGCACUACAAGUAAAAGCGUUUGAUAAUUGUCUCGCUUUCUGUGGGAAACUUCUGUUUCCUGGGUAUCUGUGUUGACUUUGGAUCUUUCAAUGGCAUGAAAAUGAGUUGUGUAAUUGUGGAUUUAGUGGAAAGGAAUAGGGAAUUUG
rnacentral:misc_RNA from 1 species